GACGAACGCUGGCGGCGUGCUUAACACAUGCAAGUCGAACGGAAAGGCCCUGCUUUUGUGGGGUGCUCGAGUGGCGAACGGGUGAGUAACACGUGAGUAACCUGCCCUUGACUUUGGGAUAACUUCAGGAAACUGGGGCUAAUACCGGAUAGGAGCUCCUGCUGCAUGGUGGGGGUGGGAAAGUUUCGGCGGUUGGGGAUGGACUCGCGGCUUAUCAGCUUGUUGGUGGGGUAGUGGCUUACCAAGGCUUUGACGGGUAGCCGGGCUGAGAGGGUGGCCGGCCACAUUGGGACUGAGAUGCGGCCCAGACUCCUACGGGAGGCAGCAGUGGGGAAUAUUGCACAAUGGGCGGAAGCCUGAUGCAGCAACGCCGCGUGCGGGAUGACGGCCUUCGGGUUGUAAACCGCUUUCGCCUGUGACGAAGCGUGAGUGACGGUAAUGGGUAAAGAAGCACCGGCUAACUACGUG
rnacentral:rRNA from 1 species